AGCUCCUGUUUCUCUCACCCACAGGACGCGGCGGGUCCUCCGGGGCGAAGUUCCGGAUUUCCCUGGGUCUUCCGGUGGGAGCCGUGAUCAACUGUGCUGACAACACCGGAGCCAAAAAUCUGUAUAUAAUCUCCGUGAAGGGGAUCAAGGGACGACUGAACAGACUUCCUGCCGCCGGGGUGGGUGACAUGGUGAUGGCCACAGUCAAAAAAGGCAAACCGGAGCUC